AGCUGCAGUAACCGCUGUACUGAGCGCGUUUGUGCUCAGUGUGGGAGCUCACAAGGGGCUCUGGGACCCAUUUCCCAGCUUCACAGGUGCCCUUUUCUCCUGCUGUGCCCAAUUCCAGGUGGUUGUGCAGGCAAAUCGGGAAGAGUGUGUGUUGGGAAGUAUUUCAGAGCAUCUCCACACCCCAGCUCCCUGGGAGGAGGGUGAAGGUGUGGAUGCAUGGUCCAUGUGAAGUUACGCUGGAGUAACCCACUGAGGGAGGAGCAGCACUAAGCAGUGAGCCCAGGGAGAUGUCCCAGGACAAACAGACGGCUCAGGAGAUGGAUGUGCAGCCUGAUGAGGAUCCCCUUGCUGCUGCCAGGGAGAAGAACGGAGCACCAGAGGAUAAUGAAGAGUCACCGUCAUGUCCCCGGUCAUCUCCUUUAGGCUACAGGGAGAAGCACACACGGCACAAAGGCUCUGCCAGCAUGGUGUGGGCAGCCAUGCCGGGGAUGCUGUUCCGGAAGAGCAGGGACAGCAGCUUUCACCCCCUUGACCUGUCCUGGGUGUUUGGCUACAACAGCAGCCUGGCUGUGCACAGCCUGAUGGACGGGGAGGACCGGGUGCUCCUGUAUGUCUCCUCCCACACAGUGGUCAUCCACGACAUCCUGCAGAACAGGCAGUUCCACCUGCAGGGCCACACAAAUGUCAUCUCCUGCCUGUGUGUGAGUGAAGACAAACGCUGGGUUGCGACUGCUGAUCAAGGGCCAGAUGCUAUGAUCAUCGUGUGGGACUCCUAUUCUGGGGUACCCGUGCGCACCAUCUUUGAGAGUCAUUCAGAGGACGGGGUCUGUGCCAUUGCCAUUUCCCAGGAUGCCAAGUAUUUGGUGACCAUUAGUGCUGCUACUGUGCAGAAAGUUUGUGUUUGGAGAUGGACUUUGCUCACAGAGGAACCCAUGUGCAGCACAGAGCUGAAGCCUGAGUUUGGGUAUCAGGAUUAUGUCAUUUUUAACCCUCAGAAUCCCCAUGAGUUUCUCAGCAACAGCAAAACCCAGGUGAUAUUUUACCUGUGGGAUGAUUCUGGUUUGCAGUACGGGACACCAUUCCUGAGCAACCAGACCUUCAAGUGCCUGGUGGGACAGUUCAGCCAGUCAGUUUUCCAUUUUAACAACACCCAAGCUCUGACGGGCACCUCGGCCGGGAAGCUGGUGGUGUGGGACAUGGACGAUCCCCGCACUCUCCCCGAGGAACUGCCGGCCAAACCGCACGGAGUGACAGCUGCCAAGGUGGUGGCAAUGCAGAAGGAGAGUCUUACCGUGCUCCAGGUGUUGGAGAGCUGUAUAGCCACAGGUGAUGUGAAAGGGCAGGUUAAAUUCUACGAUGGGCAGCUGCGGCUCCUCAGCAUCUACAGCCACGACAAAGUGGGUCCCAUCCAGUCCAUCUCCUUCUCCACAAUCCUUCGGGAUCCUCCCAGUGACCUCCCAGGCAGCAGCCAGCCUUUUCUCACCAGGAACUUUAUCCUUUCAACCUCUGAUGCAACCAUGUUCCAUGUUGCAACAGACAGCACAAACUUUGAAAGAAUCAUGACAGAGGCGAAGAAAGCUGUGAAUGCCAUUGCCUGCCACCCUCAGGAGCCACUCGUGGCUGUGGGGAGUCACUGUGGGCUGCUGAAGGUGUGGGAAUACAAGCAGACCCAGUACCUCGUUAGCAGGAUAUUCACUGAGGCUGGCAUCCAGUGCUUAUCCUAUGAUCCUGAAGGUCAUUUUCUGGCUGCUGGUUUUACUGAUGGAAGCGUUUACAUCCUUGAUGCAAUUUCCCUUCAGUCCAUCUGCGAGGAAUUCCAGUUCUCGCAAUGUCCCGUGACUCACAUCAGCUUCUCUCACGAUUCCAAGUACCUCGCGACCGCUGAUGAGAAUUAUUCAGUGACUGUUUACAAGAGAGUCCUGCAGAAUGGGAGCGGAUGCUGGGAACACCUGGCAGGGCUGGACUCCCACUACAAACCCAUCCGGAGCAUCCUCUUUGUGGUCCACUCUGACAGCAACGAGCCCAGGCUCCUGAGCCUGGGGGAGGACCGGCAGCUGGUUGAAUAUGACCUGAACAGCAGCAUCAAGGACCACUUGGUGGUCACAGACAGGGACAGGCUGGAGCAGUUUGCAGUGCCCCUGUGCUUGACCUGGUACCCACAGCUCGGCACCGAGUCCUUUUUCCUCACUGCCAACAACUGCUACAAAAUGAAGCUCUACAACACAAGAACCAAAAUGUGCAGAAAGACCCUUUUGGGACCAACCUAUGGCUCCCCCUUGGAGAAGAUACAAAUCCUCCCUCGGACAAGCUCUGCAGAUCCCCAGCAACACUACCUGGUGUACAUUACAAAGGACAAGGUGGGCUUGCAGAUGCUGCCUGUCGAUGGCAACCCCCACAAGUCCUCAGCCUUCAUUUGCCACCCGGACGGUGCCGCUGACUUUGCCGUCUCCCACGACGGGCGUUACGUCUUUACAGCCGGGGGGAAGGAGCGCACUUUUAUGAAAUGGAAAGUCAACCUACAUGCCUUGGAUGCUGCUGCUUUCCUGGGUGGGGAGGACUUGAUCCCAUUCUACAACCUCCUGGAUGGCGGCAGAGAAGGCAAAUUCUUCAGGGAACUGGAGGACUAUUUUUACUACGUACAGCUGUGCAGCCAAGGUAUCAAAACACUGGAGACCAGACAGGUGUCAACACAUAUUCCCCUGGAGGAAAUUCCUUCUGUAAUGAGAGCAAUAGGAUUUUAUCCAUCAGAGGAAGAGAUUGAAGAAAUGAUACAUGAAAUAAAAUUCAGCAAGUAUGCAGAUACUGGAGAAGAAGUGACAGAAAUCAAUUUAGAGGAUUUUAUCAAACUUUAUAUAAAUCAUCGACCUGCACUUGGCUUGUCAAUGAAAACCAUACAAAGAGCAUUUCAGGUUCUUGGUUAUGAUAACAAGAAGGGAGACAAAGUUAUUGACAGAGGAGACUUCCUGUCACUGCUUCAGUGCAGAGGGGAGCAGAUGACAGAGGAUGAGCUGGCUGCGUGUCUGACCACCCUGCUGGGCAGGAGACCCAGGAAAGAAGGAUCUGAACUGGACACCUACGAUCCCACAGGUGCAGCAGCUUUGACUGAAGAAGAAAUUCCAGCAGAAAUCACAGCAGAGAUAUUUGUUGCAGACAUUCUUGGCUUACCUAUUGCUGAACCAGAAAAAAAAGAACAGAAGGAAACAGAAGAAUCUUUGAUCUACAAAGGCUCAGAAUCAUAGCUGCCACUAGAUUUUCUGUUUGUUCCUAUUUUCCAGGGUCCUCUCCUCAAAUAUCUGCAAAAUUUAUGGCUUGUGUUUAUUGCAAAGUAAAGGUCACAUAGUUGCAUUUCAGUCAAACUCUAGAAUAAGUCCCCAGUUUGGCAUAUGCCACAAACCUGUAAUUUCACACCUAUAUAGGGAAACACGGAAUGGCUGGAAAGAAUGAAGCAGGUGGCCACUCCAUCCUUGGCUGGAAGCUUCCCAGAAGUCAUUUCAGGGGACUUCAUCACCCAUCCCGGUGUUCAAGGUCUGUCACAGCAACCGGUGCAAGGGUGGGAUGGGUGUCUGUCACUGCCCUGUACAAAAACAGAACCACGAGAAUCAAUCUGGUUGGAAAAGAUCUCUGGGAUCCAAGCCUUGACCGGUCACCACCUUGUCAACUAAACCACAGCACCAAGUGCCACAUCCAGUCUUUCCCUAAAGGGGAGGAGAUUCCACCGUCUCCAUGGGCAGCUCCUGAUGACCCUUUAGAGGCGAGCUGAAAUCGGAUAAACUUUCUAGUUCUGAGGGAGGUCAUAAUUCUGUGAUUUUCACCAAACUCUGUUGCAAUGCAAGUGAGUGUGAUGUGAUAAAUUCAGCAUUAUGACGUCACUUCGUGAUCACCAGCAGAAGAUGGGCACUGGGCCAGUGAGGAUCUUCUGUGAUUUGUGCAGCCUUUCCCAAACUCGCUGCCAUGGGCAGCAUCAGUAAAUUGUCAGUUCUCACUGAGUGAAAAGGAAAGUCCCUGAUCAGCAGGUUGGGAUGGUGUCUUUGCACAAAAGAUUAAAAAUCUGUCCAGUGAAGAUGCUGUGUGAGGCUGCUUUGAGAUGCUAACAGAGCUGCAUUGCAAACCCAGGAACCAGCAGUGGUAAUCUGUGACCUGAAAACUGAUCCCAGAAACGUGAUGAAAUUUCUCUGGCAUUGUGGACCUUCUUUAAAUCCCUGAUGUGCAGAGCUCAAGGAGUGCAUCCCUCAGCCGAGCAUCCCUCUCCACCCCAGCCCUGGGAGCCCCAGGCAGAGCUGCCCUGCAGCCACAUUUCCUUCCCCUUUUGUCAGUGUCACCAUUCAGGCUGGCAGGGUGUGCACACAGCAGCCAGGCUGUGCUUUCCCCUCUCUGCUAGGCUCAGCCUUGCCUUUCCCCAGAGCUGGGCUCUCCAGAGGCUGCAUUCUGCACCACGGCACUGGUUUGCUCCCUGUGAGGCUGUUGGUCCUACAGCUGGAAUUGCAGAGCUGUCUGUCAGGGGUGUGGAGUGAGCAUUAAAUUGCCAGCAGCAAAUUUCUGCCCCCCAAAUAAACCUCAGAUGGUCAAAAUGCAUCUAGAUUUCUAAUCCCAUUAAACAGCUUCAUGACAAUCAAAAACACACUGGUCUGUCUAAACCCUCUUCUGCUGUCUAGAAAUUUAAGUGAAAAUUGUAGGCAUUAAAUCUGCAUUUUCAAUUGCUGUUCUUCUUAACUUUAUCUUUAAUCCAGAUCUUAUUACUGCUACUGCAGUUACUCACCCAGUCAAGUAACAGCCCUGAGAAAUCUGGAGGUUAGCAGUGCUCUAGCAAGUUGUGAAAUGCAAAGAACAAUUUGCACAAUGCAGUGCUAAAGACGAUGUAAUAGAGAUCAUCCUACUUAAUAGCCUGUUUAAAUUCUUGACAACUUACAAUAGUAGAUCACUCUCUUCUGAAUCUGAAG